rnacentral:rRNA from 1 species
AUGCAGUCGAGCGGUAGCACAGAGAGCUUGCUCUCGGGUGACGAGCGGCGGACGGGUGAGUAAUGUCUGGGAAACUGCCUGAUGGAGGGGGAUAACUACUGGAAACGGUAGCUAAUACCGCAUAACGUCGCAAGACCAAAGUGGGGGACCUUCGGGCCUCAUGCCAUCAGAUGUGCCCAGAUGGGAUUAGCUAGUAGGUGGGGUAAUGGCUCACCUAGGCGACGAUCCCUAGCUGGUCUGAGAGGAUGACCAGCCACACUGGAACUGAGACACGGUCCAGACUCCUACGGGAGGCAGCAGUGGGGAAUAUUGCACAAUGGGCGCAAGCCUGAUGCAGCCAUGCCGCGUGUGUGAAGAAGGCCUUCGGGUUGUAAAGCACUUUCAGCGGGGAGGAAGGCGUUAAGGUUAAUAACCUUGGCGAUUGACGUUACCCGCAGAAGAAGCACCGGCUAACUCCGUGCCAGCAGCCGCGGUAAUACGGAGGGUGCAAGCGUUAAUCGGAAUUACUGGGCGUAAAGCGCACGCAGGCGGUCUGUCAAGUCGGAUGUGAAAUCCCCGGGCUCAACCUGGGAACUGCAUUCGAAACUGGCAGGCUAGAGUCUUGUAGAGGGGGGUAGAAUUCCAGGUGUAGCGGUGAAAUGCGUAGAGAUCUGGAGGAAUACCGGUGGCGAAGGCGGCCCCCUGGACAAAGACUGACGCUCAGGUGCGAAAGCGUGGGGAGCAAACAGGAUUAGAUACCCUGGUAGUCCACGCCGUAAACGAUGUCGAUUUGGAGGUUGUGCCCUUGAGGCGUGGCUUCCGGAGCUAACGCGUUAAAUCGACCGCCUGGGGAGUACGGCCGCAAGGUUAAAACUCAAAUGAAUUGACGGGGGCCCGCACAAGCGGUGGAGCAUGUGGUUUAAUUCGAUGCAACGCGAAGAACCUUACCUGGUCUUGACAUCCACAGAACUUUCCAGAGAUGGAUUGGUGCCUUCGGGAACUGUGAGACAGGUGCUGCAUGGCUGUCGUCAGCUCGUGUUGUGAAAUGUUGGGUUAAGUCCCGCAACGAGCGCAACCCUUAUCCUUUGUUGCCAGCGGUUAGGCCGGGAACUCAAAGGAGACUGCCAGUGAUAAACUGGAGGAAGGUGGGGAUGACGUCAAGUCAUCAUGGCCCUUACGACCAGGGCUACACACGUGCUACAAUGGCAUAUACAAAGAGAAGCGACCUCGCGAGAGCAAGCGGACCUCAUAAAGUAUGUCGUAGUCCGGAUUGGAGUCUGCAACUCGACUCCAUGAAGUCGGAAUCGCUAGUAAUCGUAGAUCAGAAUGCUACGGUGAAUACGUUCCCGGGCCUUGUACACACCGCCCGUCACACCAUGGGAGUGGGUUGCAAAAGAAGUAGGUAGCUUAACCUUCGGGAGGGCGCUU